rnacentral:rRNA from 1 species
ACGGGUGAGUAAUAUAUCGGAACGUGCCCUGGAGUGGGGGAUAACUAGUCNAAAGACUAGCUAAUACCGCAUACGAUCUACGGAUGAAAGUGGGGGAUCGCAAGACCUCAUGCUCGUGGAGCGGCCGAUAUCUGAUUAGCUAGUUGGNGGGGUAAAAGCCUACCAAGGCAUCGAUCAGUAGCUGGUCUGAGAGGACGACCAGCCACACUGGGACUGAGACACGGCCCAGACUCCUACGGGAGGCAGCNGUGGGGAAUUUUGGACAAUGGGGGCAACCCUGAUCCAGCAAUGCCGCGUGAGUGAAGAAGGCCUUCGGGUUGUAAAGCUCUUUUGUCAGGGAAGAAACGG